GAUGAACGCUGGCGGCGUGCCUAAUACAUGCAAGUCGAGCGAACAGACGAGGAGCUUGCUCCUCUGACGUUAGCGGCGGACGGGUGAGUAACACGUGUAUAACCUACCUAUAAGACUGGGAUAACUUCGGGAAACCGGCUCUAAUACCGGAUAAUAUAUUGAACCGCAUGGUUCAAUAGUGAAAGACGGUUUUGCUGUCACUUAUAGAUGGAUCCGCGCCGCAUUAGCUAGUUGGUAAGGUAACGGCUUACCAAGGCAACGAUGCGUAGCCGACCUGAGAGAGGGAUAGGCGACACUGGAACGUAGCCACGGUCCAGACGACUGAGGGAGGGAGCAGUAGGGAAUGUUACGCAGUGGGGGAAAGCCUGACGGAGCAGGGGCGCGUGUGUGAUGAAGGUCUUCGGAGCGGAAAACUCUGUUAUUAGGGAAGAACAAAUGUGUAAGUAAAUAUGCACGUCUUGACGGUACCGAAUCAGAAAGCAACGGCUAACUACGUG
rnacentral:rRNA from 1 species